GUGGAAACCACCAACCAAUUGGAAGGUGACUAGGGUGAAUAUAGCCCAAGGAACUUGCAAAACUCUUUGGAGGGCCAAGGAGUAAAGGACUUCAUUCAGGGUGUGACAUGGUGGGCCACACCCAUCAACAGAAUCUCAGCCAGGGCUUCAGAACUAAUGUAAAAAGUGAAAAAAUCUUAUAACUCAGUUACAAAGACUUAGUUUUACUGCUAAUAAUGAACGUGGAACUUAUAGUCCUUUGCCUUCUACUCUGUCCAAAUCUGAUGAGUUAUUUUAGCCUAGAAAGUUCCAUAAAAUGUAUACCACCAAAAAGAAAAAUUCUGACUGCAGGGAAGCAGUACACUCUGUAGACCCCGGAGAAAAAUAAAUCACCAUGAGAUUUGACAACAAUCAAUUUUUCACUGCACGCUAAUCAAGCAGAUAGAAAGAAGGCCAUGGAAAUGUCUGUUUGAAGUUCUGAAGUAAACUACCUUGAUGUUGACAAAGAUGAGACAAACUACCUGAUGAAAGAAAUCAUAUUCAAGAAAGAAUCUUUAGAGAGGAAGGCAGCCUAUUUAUUUACAUGAAGAUCAAAGAACCUUUGCAUGAAUUGAGACUACAUUUUUUCCGAGUGAUUUGCAAAAGAUAAUCCUCAUGGCUGAAUGAGAAAAGUGAAAAUGCAACAACAAGGGUCCAUCUUGGAAGCAGAGGGCAGCCUUCACCAGACAAUCAAACCUGCCACCUGCCUGUGCCUUGAUGUUGGACUUCUCAGCUUCUAGAACUUGUGGUGAGGAGAAAGGAAGUGCCAGAUUUAUCCCAUGAUCUGAAAUUCGACCACGUAUGAGCAACUGUAUAUGAGAAAGAGCUACUAAAUAAGACAUUCUGUUUCCUGGUGAGGAAGGAGAGAGUAAUGAGCAAAUCAUGCUCCUGGUGUUAUAUACCCAGUCAUUCAACAGGAUCUCCCAACUAGAGCAAAAUGGAAAAAGGUUGUCUGUUCACUCUGACUAUGCAGCCAUAAAAAGAAAGGAGAUCAUGUCCUUUGGCAGGACAUGGAAGAGCUGGAAGCCAUUAUCCUCAACAAAUUAACACAGGAACGGAAAACCAAACACCACAUGUUCUCACUUAUAAGUGGGAGUUCAACAAUGAGAACACAUGGUCACAGGGAGGGGAACAACACACAUUGGAGCCUGUCAGAGGAGGUAGGGGAGGGAGAGCAUUAGGAUAAAUAGCUAAUGAAUGUGGGCUUAAUACCUAAGUGAUGGAUUGAUAGGUGCAGCAAACCAUCAUGGCACACGUUUACCUAUGUAACAAACCUGCACACCCUGUAUAUGUAUCCAAG
rnacentral:lncRNA from 1 species